rnacentral:rRNA from 1 species
CGCGGCCUAUCAGCUUGUUGGUGGGGUAAUGGCCUACCAAGGCGACGACGGGUAGCCGGCCUGAGAGGGCGACCGGCCACACUGGGACUGAGACACGGCCCAGACUCCUACGGGAGGCAGCAGUGGAAAUAUUGCACAAUGGGGGAAACCCUGAUGCAGCGACGCAGCGUGCGGGAUGACGGCCUUCGGGUUGUAAACCGCUUUCAGCAGGGAAGAAGCGAAAGUGACGGUACCUGCAGAAGAAGUACCGGCUAACUACGUGCCAGCAGCCGCGGUAAUACGUAGGGUACGAGCGUUGUCCGGAAUUAUUGGGCGUAAAGAGCUCGUAGGUGGUUGGUCACGUCUGCUGUGGAAGCGCAACGCUUAACGUUGCGCGUGCAGUGGGUACGGGCUGACUAGAGUGCAGUAGGGGAGUCUGGAAUUCCUGGUGUAGCGGUGAAAUGCGCAGAUAUCAGGAGGAACACCGGUGGCGAAGGCGGGACUCUGGGCUGUAACUGACACUGAGGAGCGAAAGCAUGGGGAGCGAACAGGAUUAGAUACCCUGGUAGUCCAUGCCGUAAACGUUGGGCACUAGGUGUGGGGGACAUUCCACGUUCUCCGCGCCGUAGCUAACGCAUUAAGUGCCCCGCCUGGGGAGUACGG